rnacentral:lncRNA from 1 species
UCCACACUGAAGAAAGGAAAAUCCUGGCAUGAAAUCUUUGCUGUUGAUGUCCUUGGCCUUAAUGAAUGGGCUCUCCACUCAGAGUCAGAGCAGUAGGAGAGGACUAGAAGAGUUCUGGUUGCUCUGGAAGCCUGUCAUAGAUGCUUCACGAAGUCUUAUUUUCGGAAUUGAGCAAGUCACAUGUGUCCAAUCUCUCCGCUGCCUGGGCUACCCUGAAUGAAGAGGAAUUGUCUUGGGCCACGUGUCAAAUACAGAGUGUAGGUAAUGUAACAGAGCUUCCUUUCUACACAUUAACUUAUUAAGUUAUUUUUGGUUUUGGGGCUGGGGAUCAAACACAGGACCUUGCACUUGUGAGGCCCGUGGUGGAACCACUCAGCUAAAUCCCUGGCCGCGUAUUAAGUUAUUUUUAAAACAACAAAUGCAAGUGUAAUAACUAAGUAAGAAAGUGUGUCUGCUUAUAACAGCAAUUAACACUUGUUUUCACAGGUAUAUACACGCGGUAGGCUAGAAUGCUAUUAGAGGAAUUCACUGCAUAUUACUCCCCAAGUUGCACAAAUGUAUGUGACAUCUGAUUUGACCAACUGUG